rnacentral:rRNA from 1 species
GCUUGUCUCAAAGAUUAAGCCAUGCAUGUCUAAGUAUAAAUGUUAUACAGUGAAACUGCGAAUGGCUCAUUAAAACAGUUAUAGUUUAUUUGAUAAUCGAAUUUACAUGGAUAACCGUAGUAAUUCUAGAGCUAAUACGUGCGUAAAUCCCGACUCCUGGAAGGGACGUAUUUAUUAGAUUUAAGGCCAACCGAGCUUGCUCGUCUCUUGGUGAAUCAUGAUAACUUCACGAAUCGCAUGGCCUCGCGCCGGCGAUAUUUCAUUCAAAUUUCUGCCCUAUCAAUUGGCGAUGGUAGGAUAGAGGCCUACCAUGGUGUUAACGGGUGACGGGGGAUUAGGGUUCGAUUCCGGAGAGGCAGCCUGAGAAACGGCUACCACAUCCAAGGAAGGCAGCAGG